UACGUAGGGUGCAAGCGUUAAUCGGAAUUACUGGGCGUAAAGCGUGCGCAGGCGGUUGUGCAAGACAGGUGUGAAAUCCCCGGGCUUAACCUGGGAACUGCACUUGUGACUGCACGGCUAGAGUGCGGCAGAGGGGGAUGGAAUUCCGCGUGUAGCAGUGAAAUGCGUAGAUAUGCGGAGGAACACCGAUGGCGAAGGCAAUCCCCUGGGCCUGCACUGACGCUCAUGCACGAAAGCGUGGGGAGCAAACAGG
rnacentral:rRNA from 1 species